rnacentral:rRNA from 1 species
UAGGGAAUCUUCGGCAAUGGACGAAAGUCUGACCGAGCAACGCCGCGUGAGUGAAGAAGGUUUUCGGAUUGUAAAACUCUGUUGCUAGAGAAGAACAAGGACGUUAGUAACUGAACGUCCCCUGACGGUAUCUAACUAGAAAGCCACGCCUAACUACGUGCCAGCAGCCGCGGUAAUACGUAGGUGGCAAGCGUUGUCCGGCUUUAUUGGGCGUAAAGCGAGCGCAGGCGGUUUCUUAAGUCUGAUGUGAAAGCCCCCGGCUCAACCGGGGAAGGUCAUUGGAAACUGGUAGACUUGAGUGCAGUAGAGGGGAGUGGAAUUCAAUGUGUAACGGUGAGAUGAGUAGAUAUAUGGGGGAACACCAGUGGGGAAGGCAGCUCUCUGAUCAGUAACUGGCGCUGAGGCUCGAAAGCGUGGAGAGCAAACCGG